rnacentral:rRNA from 1 species
GAUGAACGCUGACAGAAUGCUUAACACAUGCAAGUCAACUGUGGCGGACGGGUGAGUAACGCGUAAAGAACUUGCCUCACGGAUAGGGACAACAUUUGGAAACGACUGCUAAUACCUGAUACUGUGAGAGAGCUUUGCGUCCCAUUAGCUCGUUGGAGAGGUAACGGCUCACCAAGGCGAUGAUGGGUAGCCGGCCUGAGAGGGUGAUCGGCCACAAGGGGACCUAGACACGGCCCUUACUCCGACGGGAGGCAGAAGUGGGGAAUAUUGGACAAUGGACCAAAGUCUGAUCCAGCAAUUCUGUUUGCACGAUGAAGUUUUCGGAAUGUAAAGUGCUUUCAGUUGGGAAGCGGUACCAACAGAAGAAGGGACGGCUAAAUACGUGCCAGCAGCCGCGGUAAUAC